CUACGGGUGGCAGCAGUGAGGAAUAUUGCACAAUGGGGGGAACCCUGAUGCAGCAACGCUGCGUGGAGGAUGACGCAUUUCGGUGUGUAAACUCCUUUUAUAUGUCAAGAAAAUGACGGUAGCAUAUGAAUAAGCACCGGCUGAACUCCGUGCCAGCAGCCGCGGUAAUACGGAGGGUGCAAGCGUUACUCGGAAUCACUGGGCGUAAAGGACGCGUAGGCGGGUUGGAAAGUCAGGUGUGAAAUCCUACAGCUUAACUGUAGAACUGCACUUGAAACUUCUAAUCUAGAGUAUGGGAGGGGGAGAUGGAAUUAGUGGUGUAGGGGUAAAAUCCGUAGAUAUCACUAGGAAUACCUAAAGCGAAGGCGAUCUCCUGGAACAUUACUGACGCUAAGGCGUGAAAGCGUGGGGAGCAAACAGGAUUAGAUACCCCAGUAGUC
rnacentral:rRNA from 1 species